UACAGAGGGUGCGAGCGUUGUCCGGAAUCACUGGGCGUAAAGGGCGCGUAGGCGGCUCGAUAAGCGUGCGGUGAAAGCCCGGGGCUCAACCCCGGGUCGGCCGUGCGAACUGUCGAGCUGGAGCACUGUAGAGGCAGGUGGAAUUCCGGGUGUAGCGGUGGAAUGCGUAGAGAUCCGGAAGAACACCGGUGGCGAAGGCGGCCUGCUGGGCAGUGGCUGACGCUGAGGCGCGACAGCGUGGGGAGCAAACAGG
rnacentral:rRNA from 1 species